rnacentral:lncRNA from 1 species
AGAGGUCAGAGGUCAGAGGUCAGGGGGUGAGUGGUGCGGCUGUGGGGUGAGCUUGGGGUCAGGGGUCAGAAGGUCACGGGGUGAGGGGUCACAGGGCUGCAGCUGCAGUGCUCUGAGAGGUCAGAGGUCAGGGGUCACGGGUUGAGUGGUGGGGUCAAGGGUCAUGGGCUGAGCGGUGGGGCUGCAGGGUGAGCUUGGGGUCAGGGGUCAGAAGGUCACAGGGUUAGGGGUCACGGGGCUGCUGCUGCAGUGCUGAGAGGUCAGAGGUCAUGGGGUCACGGGGUGAGUGGUAGGGCUCUGGGGGUGAGCUUGGGGUCAGGGGUCAUAAGGUCACGAGGUCACAGGGUGGGGGUGCGGCGCCCACCCCUCAGUUUGCGCAGCGACGCCUCCACCUCCGUCUCAAUCAGCGGGAAAUCCUGCCGGCUGGGGCACCUGCGGGCACCGCGUCAGCGCCCCAUAGCGCCCCAUAGCGCCCACAGCACCCCAUACAGCCCCACAGCGCCCCAUAGCGCCCCAUAGAAACCCCAUAGCGCCCCACAGAGCCCCAUAGAGCCCUAUAGAGCCCUAUAGAGCCCAAC